rnacentral:rRNA from 1 species
GUUUAGAACGUCGUGAGACAGUUCGGUCCCUAUCUGCCGUGGGCGCUGGAGAACUGAGGGGGGCUGCUCCUAGUACGAGAGGACCGGAGUGGACGCAUCACUGGUGUUCGGGUUGUCAUGCCAAUGGCACUGCCCGGUAGCUAAAUGCGGAAGAGAUAAGUGCUGAAAGCAUCUAAGCACGAAACUUGCCCCGAGAUGAGUUCUCCCUGAGGCUUUAGGUCUCCUGAAGGAACGUUGAAGACGACGACGUUGAUAGGCCGGGUGUGUAAGCGCAGCGAUGCGUUGAGCUAACCGGUACUAAUGAACCGUGAGGCUUAACCUU